rfam:Eurypyga helias contig71574, whole genome shotgun sequence.
AGCAUGGCCCUUUAAGGGCCACACACAUUUACAGACAAUUUAUGU